rnacentral:rRNA from 1 species
UACGUAGGUGGCGAGCGUUAUCCGGAUUCAUUGGGCGUAAAGAGCUUGUAGGCGGCGUCAUAAGUUGGACGUGAAAACUCCGGGCUUAACUUGGAGAGGCCGUUCAAUACUGUGAGGCUAGAGGGUGGCAGAGGGAAGUAGAAUUCCUGGUGUAGCAGUGAAAUGCGUAGAUAUCAGGAGGAAUACCCGUGGCGAAGGCGGCUUCCUGGGGCACCACUGACGCUGAGAAGCGAAAGCUAGGGGAGCAAACGGG